AUCAUGUAACCGUAGCCAGUGUGAAGGAGUUUAAGGUGGUGGCCGUAGUUUUUGUUAGCUUUGCUUGAAAAUCUUUAAGAUGACAAGAAAAGUAUGAAGUCAUCUGACUGUCUUCUUAAGAGUAACAAGAAAAACUGAGAAAAUGUUUUGUUUAUUUUUUCUUUCUGUUUCAGGUUGUGACUGGUGGGAUUUAAAGAGGGAUAUUUGCUGAGGCUACAGCACCAAGAGGAAGAAUACUGCUGCCUUUGGAUUUGCUCACCACUGAUGGAAAACAAGUUAUGCUGGCUAAGUUAUGAUCAUGCUGUCACACACUGUGUUGUGUUGUUUAUCAAAUGAUUUCUCGCUUUUUGUUUUGAUCUGUGACAGCCUACAUAAUGUACCAACAAAUUCUCUGUGUGCUUAAAGCUACAAAGAUUCAAAUGUGGUGUAAAAUGUAUAUUUUAUUGCUUAUAUUGAUUUCUGGAUUGAGCCAAAGAGGGUGGGUGUUACUCCUAAAUCUACCUUUCAAAUAAACAAAGUUCUGUUUCUAAUUUUUUUAUUACAACAAUUGUUUAAUUGAAGAUUGAAGAUGCAGCUGCAUUUGGAUUCAAGUCAAUGUAUUACUGAAUAAAUACAUAAAAUUUGAAUAUGCCAACAA